AGAAAUCCGAGGAGUGUGAUCUACAGUUCGUGCUGCGCCUGCCAUGGUGUGGACCCCGAGUUCAAGCCUGGACGAGGAGCAGACACUGACUUCACACUUCUGAUAGAUUCUUUGUGGACGAGACAAAAGUUAAGGAAGGCGACCAACCACAGCAGUGGACAUUUUCAAAAAGGUAAAUGAAGAAUUCAGAGCCCGGACCGAAGUUUAAGCCAAGAUGCAAAAAAAGAAAAAAAAGAUCAAAGAGCCUGGAACAGAAUCU
rnacentral:lncRNA from 1 species